UUGGUUAGAGUGCCUGCCUGUCACGCAGGACGUCGCGGGUUCGAAUCCCGUCCGCUCCG
rnacentral:tRNA from 1 species